CUCUGGGUCCAACCUCCCAUCCGUGUCUAUCUGUACCCUGUUGCUUCGGCGUGGCCACGGCCCGCCGAAGACUAACAUUUGAACACUGUCUGAAGUUUGCAGUCUGAGAUUUUUAGUUAAACAAUAAUUAAAACUUUCAACAACGGAUCUCUUGGUUCCGGCAUCGAUGAAGAACGCAGCGAAAUGCGAUAAUUAAUGUGAAUUGCAGAAUUCAGUGAAUCAUCGAGUCUUUGAACGCACAUUGCGCCCCCUGGUAUUCCGGGGGGCAUGCCUGUCCGAGCGUCAUUGCUGCCCUCAAGCACGGCUUGUGUGUUGGGCUUCCGUCCCUGGUAACGGGGACGGGCCCAAAAGGCAGUGGCGGCACCAUGUCUGGUCCUCGAGCGUAUGGGGCUUUGUCACCCGCUCCCGUAGGUCCAGCUGGCAGCUAGCCUCGCAACCAAUCUUUUUAACCAGGUUGACCUCGGAUCAGGUAGGGAUAGCCGCUGAACUUAAGCAUAUCAAUAAGCGGAGGA
rnacentral:sRNA from 1 species